rnacentral:tRNA from 2 species
GCCCGAGUGGCGGAAUGGCAGACGCGACGGACUCAAAAUCCGUUAUCUGAAAGGGUGUGUGGGUUCAACUCCCACCUCGGGCACCA